rnacentral:rRNA from 1 species
UACGGAGGAUGCAAGCGUUAUCCGGAAUGAUUGGGCGUAAAGCGUCCGCAGGUGGCUGUGUAAGUCUGCUGUCAAAGAGCGAAGCUCAACUUCGUAAAGGCAGUGGAAACUACACGGCUAGAGUGCGUUCGGGGCAGAGGGAAUUCCUGGUGUAGCGGUGAAAUGCGUAGAGAUCAGGAAGAACACCAGUGGCGAAGGCGGUCUGCUGGGCAGUUGCUGACACUGAUGCGCGACAGCGUGGGGAGCAAACAGG